rnacentral:rRNA from 1 species
GAUGAACGCUAGCGGCAGGCUUAAUACAUGCAAGUCGUGGGGCAGCACAGUGUAGCAAUACCUGGGUGGCGACCGGCAAACGGGUGCGGAACACGUACGCAACCUUCCUUCAAGUGGGGACUAGCCCAGGGAAACUUGGAUUAAUACCCCGUAAUAUGUCGGAGUGGCAUCACUCUGAGCUUAUAGCUACGGCGCUUGCAGAUCGGCGUGCGACUGAUUAGGUAGUGGGCGGGGUAACGGCCCACCAAGCCUGCUAUCAGUAACUGGUGUGAGAGCACGACCAGUCACACGGGCACUGAGACACGGGCCCGACUCCUACGGGAGGCAGCAGUAAGGAAUAUUGGUCAAUGGACGCAAGUCUGAACCAGCCAUGCCGCGUGGAGGAUGAAGGUCCUCUGGAUUGUAAACUUCUUUUAUUUGGGAAGAAACCCACGGUUUCUACUGUGGUUGACGGUACCAGAUGAAUAAGCACCGGCUAACUCCGUGCCAGCCGCCGCCGUAAGAC